GUGAUAUGAACCGUUAUAACCGGCGAUUUCCGAAUGGGGAAACCCAGUGUGACUCGUCACACUAUCAUUAACUGAAUCCAUAGGUUAAUGAGGCGAACCGGGGGAACUGAAACAUCUAAGUACCCCGAGGAAAAGAAAUCAACCGAGAUUCCCCCAGUAGCGGCGAGCGAACGGGGAGGAGCCCAGAGCCUGAAUCAGCAUGUGUGUUAGUGGAAGCGUCUGGAAAGGCGCGCGAUACAGGGUGACAGCCCCGUACACAAAAGCGCAUGUGCUGUGAGCUCGAUGAGUAGGGCGGGACACGUGGUAUCCUGUCUGAAUAUGGGGGGACCAUCCUCCAAGGCUAAAUACUCCUGACUGACCGAUAGUGAACCAGUACCGUGAGGGAAAGGCGAAAAGAACCCCGGCGAGGGGAGUGAAAAAGAACCUGAAACCGUGUACGUACAAGCAGUGGGAGCCCCACCACCAAAGCAUUCUCUGGUGUUGAAGGCCCUGCAAAGCAGCAUCGCGGUGGCGGAGCGUCG
rnacentral:rRNA from 1 species